GGGCCUCUGAUGACCGUCGCGGCUCCACUCGGGGGCUCGCCGUCCCCCAUACCUUUGAUGGUCGGUCCUCUGUCUCGCUCGCUCGCACGCUCGCCCCGCUCCCAGUUCUCCAGGGCCGGUCAGAAGCUGUCCUCCGCCGUGACGCCCCGCCCGUCUUCCGGUCCUAAGGGACCAUGGAAAGUUUCGGGGAGACUGACCUUUGCCGCAUGACUUAGGCAAAAUCAACUAAGUCCGUGACAGGACGUCAAGGAUUUUGGGACAUGAUCAAUAACGACUGGACUAUGACUCGAAGAAACUGCAGAGCUAUGUGAAGGAGAAAUCCUUCUUGAUCUCAGAAAGAGGAGCUCUUGCUGACUGGAUCAGUCCUGCUUUCCUUAGCUCCAUGGUUGCGCUAAAAGACACAUCUAAGUAAUUGUGUGUCCUGAUCUGACAUCACUCGUCCUUGUUGCCUUCUCCUUCCCUUCCCCAUCUUAUCUUUUCAAUGAGACACAGUCCAUUUGUAGUAUAAACAGCUGAACGGUUACUUAUCAUUGCCGGCUGCUAAUUCUGGGUGAGACAGCCCAUGCGCGAUUUUUGUUUGUUCUUCUCAUAUGUCGUAAUUCUUCCGGUUGCAAUCGAACAACUGAAUGUUUAAUUAUUAUUAGUCCCAGCCGCUACAUUUUACUGUUAAAAUAGCUAAUAUGAUUAGAUCAUCGUACACCAUAGUGUGUCUAGGGAAGAUGAACUUGUUGGAAUCUUGCACGAUGAUGAUUCAUGUGGUGUGUGAUUGAUGUACUAUCCAUAAGAAAAGCAUGUUCGCAUGCUAUUAUUAGAUCAUCGUGCAUCAA